rnacentral:rRNA from 1 species
CCUACGGGCGGCAGCAGUGGGGAAUAUUGGGCAAUGGGCGCAAGCCUGACCCAGCAACGCCGCGUGAAGGAAGAAGGCUUUCGGGUUGUAAACUUCUUUUAAGAGGGAAGAGCAGAAGACGGUACCUCUUGAAUAAGCCACGGCUAACUACGUGCCAGCAGCCGCGGUAAUACGUAGGUGGCAAGCGUUGUCCGGAUUUACUGGGUGUAAAGGGCGUGUAGCCGGGCUGACAAGUCAGAUGUGAAAUCCAGUGGCUCAACCACGGAACUGCAUUGGAAACUGUCGGUCUGGAGUAUCGGAGAGGCAGGCGGAAUUCCUAGUGUAGCGGUGAAAUGCGUAGAUAUUAGGAGGAACACCAGUGGCGAAGGCGGCCUGCUGGACGACAACUGACGGUGAGGCGCGAAAGCGUGGGGAGCAAACAGGAUUAGAUACCCGUGUAGUC